AAGCCUGAUCCAGCCAUGCCGCGUGAGUGAAGAAGGCCUUCGGGUUGUAAAGCUCUUUUGUCCGGAAAGAAAAGCGCUCGGUUAAUACCCGGGUGUCAUGACGGUACCGGAAGAAUAAGCACCGGCUAACUUCGUGCCAGCAGCCGCGGUAAUACGAAGGGUGCAAGCGUUACUCGGAAUUACUGGGCGUAAAGCGUGCGUAGGUGGUUUGUUAAGUCUGAUGUGAAAGCCCUGGGCUCAACCUGGGAACUGCAUUGGAUACUGGCUUACUAGAGUGCGGUAGAGGGGUGUGGAAUUCCCUGUGUAGCAGUGAAAUGCGUAAAUAUGGGGAGGAACACCCGUGGCGAAGGCGACUCCCUGGACCAGCACUGACACUGAGGCACGAAAGCGUGGGGAGCAAACAGGAUUAGAUACCCUGGUAGUCCACGCCCUAAAC
rnacentral:rRNA from 1 species